rnacentral:snRNA from 1 species
GUGCUCGCUUCGGCAGCACAUACACUAAAAUUGUAACAAUACAGAGAUUAGCAUGGUCCCUGUGCAAGGAUGACAUGCAAAUUCGUGAAGCGUUCCAUAUGUUU